rnacentral:misc_RNA from 1 species
CAGAGAUAUGCCCUCACGGGUAGACCUCCCACCCUGUAUAAUAUACUCUUGUUGCUUUGGCAGGACGCCUUCGGGCCCUCGGCUUCGGCUGAGGCGUGCCUGCCAGAGGACCCCAACUCAUGUGUUUAGUGUCGUCUGAGUACUAUAAAAUAAGUUA